GACGAACGCUGGCGGCGUGCCUAAUACAUGCAAGUAGGACGCAGUUGCGAACGGGGGAGUAACGCGUAGGUAACUACCUAUUAGAGGGGGAUAACGAGUGGAAACGAUAGCUAAUACCGCAUAGUAGGAGAUGGACCUGCGGUGGAUUAGCGAGUAGGUAGGGUAAUGGCCUACCUAGGCAACGAUACAUAGCCGCCCUGAGAGGGUGAGCGGCCACACUGGGACUGAGACACGGCCCAGACUCCUACGGGAGGCAGCAGUAGUGGAUCGUCGGCAAUGGGGUGAACCCUGACCGCGCAACGCCGCGUGAGUGAAGAAGGUUUUCGGAUCGUAAAGCUCUGUUGUUGAGGACGCGGUACUUAACCAGAAAGGGACGGCUAACUACGUGCCAGCAGCCGCGGUAAUAC
rnacentral:rRNA from 1 species